rnacentral:rRNA from 1 species
UACGAAGGGGGCUAGCGUUGCUCGGAAUCACUGGGCGUGAAGCGCACGUAGGCGGGUUCUUAAGUCAGGGGUGAAAUCCUGGAGCUCAACUCCAGAACUGCCUUUGAUACUGGGAAUCUCGAGUCCGGGAGAGGUGAGUGGAACUGCGAGUGUAGAGGUGAAAUUCGUAGAUAUUCGCAAGAACACCAGUGGCGAAGGCGGCUCACUGGCCCGGUACUGACGCUGAGGUGCGAAAGCGUGGGGAGCAAACAGG